GUCAUUAUAGAUGCUAGUUUGGUGAAAGUUCACACUGAGUGCUUCAAAUCAUUCAGAAGAGAUGCUGUUUUUAGGGCAGUUUAUUAAAGAAGACCUGACAUGGAUGACUUCCAAUGAGAAACGACUGCUAAUACUUAUAUAAAUUCAUUACAGAAGGACCCUACCAGACUAUAUUUGAAUACGGCAUACCCAUGAAUUCUGGAACUGUUAUUCCUUAACCCAGUUUGGAGGAUAAGAGCUUACCAACUAGUUAUAAAUAUGCUGAGGUGAUGUAUUGCAAAAUAGCCAACAUACAACAAUAUGGAUGACCCUCUGUCUGGUCAACAGGAGUUUAAAUAUGGACGGGACAGUGAUGUGGCAGCUCUUCCCUGGCUCAUUCACCUCUUGCCUUUUAUUUGUGAAAGGAAGAAAGAAGAAAGAGGGUCAAUGUGCAACUGAAGCUACUGAUUGUGCUGUGUGAUGAGCAUCAAUCCAUGCUUUGAGGGGAAUGAAUCAGCACAGCCCUGCCUGCACUGCGUUGGGAACAAAAGUUGCAUCCAGAAUUUUUGCAUCAUUCUGGACCAAAAAGCCAUUCCCUCCAUGAUGAAGACCACUGAUGCAGCCUUCCACUACAUCAUGAGUAAAACAACUACAGAACUAAAUACCAGGUUGGAACGUAUUUAAGAAAAAUGAAACGUCUUUUGAAUUGAAAUGUCUGUUUUGUUAUGGAAAAAUCUUUAGUAUUGUGAAGGAUAAGCAUUUCUGCCUGCCAGUAAGGUAAUUGCAGUGUAUUUUAAUGUUCAAGUUUUGAGUAGGGUGGCUAAUUUUUUUUAAACUCUCAUUUGAUAUAUUAAAGACCUUAUAAUAAGUGGUUUUCAUGUCACUGCGCUGUGGUAUAAGAUAACUUUCAUUAUUCCAUACUGUAUUCUGUUUCUAAUUGUAGCUGAGGUAUUUAAAUAAGCAGUGUUAAAUGCAAAGUGUUGUGUGUAUCAAUGUAAAUAUUAAAUGUGAUGUACUUUAAUAAAAAGAGGUUUUGCAAUA